UGGGCUUUUGGGUCAGACACCGCCUGGAGGCGCAAUGUCAGGGGCACUGGAGAGGGGGGCGCUAUGUGACGGCAUCAGCGUCGCCUGUACCCAUCACGACACCUGAACCACCACGACUGCGCCAACCACAGCUGGACAACUGACCCCUGAGAGCUCGGGAGCAGGAUUCACGGCGGCUGUUUGAGCCACAAUGAUGACUGACGACAUCGGCUUGUGUGCAUUUCUGGUAAGGUAUCCAAGGUGAGGUGGCGGUCAUUAGGAACAAGGAGCGAGUAGUAAGCUGGAACUUGAGCAGGUGGCAUGGCUCGGCGGCGUGGCUGGAGCUCUCAGCGAGACGGGGAAGGCACGGAAGGAAAACUGGAGACGCAGAAGAACAAAAUCAGAUGAGUACAGAUGAGGGUUAUAGGAUGAUAAUAUCGUGUCACAAAACCAGUAGGAGAGUCGGCCAGUGAGUCCAAAACAAGCAUCAAGACUCUGGCGAAGGCUGUAGAACUUGAUGGGUUUUACAGGUAGCAAUCAGUGCUGCCUGAUUGCACGAGGAGAGGGCGAGAUGAGAGACACGGCGCCACCCAAGUUCCAAAAGAGGAAAUGCAGGCCAUGGACCAUCACAGUACCAGUAACAACAGACACCUCCAA